UGCUCCUACGGGGCGCAGCAGUGGGGAAUUUUGGACAAUGGGCGCAAGCCUGAUCCAGCUAUUCCGCGUGUGGGAUGAAGGCCCUCGGGUCGUAAACCACUUUUGUAGAGAACGAAAAGACACCUUCGAAUAAAGGGUGUUGCUGACGGUACUCUAAGAAUAAGCACCGGCUAACUACGUGCCAGCAGCCGCGGUAAUACGUAGGCUGCGAGCGUUAUCCGGAUUUAUUGGGUUUAAAGGGUGCGCAGGCGGUCUGUUGAGUCAGCGGUCAAAGCCCGGGGCUCAACCCCGGCCCGCCGUUGAAA
rnacentral:rRNA from 1 species